rnacentral:rRNA from 1 species
GACGAACGCUGGCGGCGUGCUUAACACAUGCAAGUCGAGCGGUAAGGCCCGUUUCGGGGUACACGAGCGGCGAACGGGUGAGUAACACGUGGGUGACCUGCCCUCAGCUCUGGGAGUAAGCCGUCGGGAAACCGGGUACUAAUACUGGAUAUGACUCCAUGACGCAUGUUGGUGGGGUGGAAAGCCUUGUGCGGCUGAGGAUGGGCCCGCGGCCUAUCAGCUUGUUGGUGGGGUGAGG